rnacentral:lncRNA from 1 species
AAAUCUCUAAGGUGUAGAGAGUGAAAAAUAAAAGUUGUAAUUGGUGAGGAGUGUUGUUGAAGAAAUAAAAUAGUGUGUUUUUUGUGUGUUUUAUUUAUUAAUUCUCCAACAAGAUCUACUCAUUGAUCCUUAUUAUUUGGUAUUAGAGCAGGCAUCACAUCCAGUAUGGAAUCGGUGUAUGGGUACGGCUCCGUGACCUCGAUGUUACGAAUAGGGUGAAUUUGCUACUUAGAAAAAGAUGAGAUUCAUGAUCGCGAUGUUACAGAUGGGGCAACCUGGAAAGGGUUUCUACUCAGAAAAAGAUGAGAUUCAUGACCAAUGUUAUAGAUUGGGCAAAUCUGAAUGGUGCUCCUACUCAGAAAAAGAUGAGAUCAACGAAAUCACCGAAUUGAGAAUGAUUGGGUAAUAUCUCAGAUGGAAAGAAUACAACAACGUAAAUGAGAAUAUAAACUUAUGGACACCCGCCCUUACAAGUUGAUUUUUGGGUGAGUUCUACCCGUGAGUCCUUAUCAUGUUGUUGUUCGUUACAAGGAAACUACGUUUCUAAUGAGAAGACCGAUCGACUUGGUGCUAACAAAACUCGAAGCUUGUUUCAGUUGUCAUAACCAAUCAUGAUAUAUAAUAUAGCUUGUCAUUUGUUAUUAACAAAUAGUUCUUGGCUUUUGCAAUAAAUUAUUGGCUUUAAAUAGACUUGAUCUAUAAUAACCUUAAGAGAUAGAUUUUUUAUUAUAAAUGUUUAGAUUUAAAGUUUAAACAAAGUAGAACAACAAUG